rnacentral:sRNA from 1 species
UACAGCCGCACGCCACCACGCCCAGCUAAUUUUUGUAUUUUUAGUAGAGACGGGGUUUCACCAUGUUGCCCAGCACAGCCUGAUUCAGGCCUCGGAGCUGGUCUUGACCCGGCUUCGACAUCAAGUGGAGCAGAGGAGACAUCGGCUACAAGGGUUGGAGGAUGGGGCAGGUGCAGGGCCUGCUGAGAAUGCAGCCUCUUAAGCACCCAUGCACCCACUCUUCCCAGACCUGGGGCGACUCAUGGCGUGCUCACCUCCAGCCGCUGGUGGGGGGUGUCCUGAAGGACAGGAUGCUCUCCCCAGACCUCCCCAGGGUGGUGAAGCUGUGCCCUGGGACCCCAGCUAACCCACUCCUCUCUCUGUGCCUCAAUGUCCCUAUUUGAAAGCGGGGAUGAUCCCAUUCCACCCUGUCCACUCUGGAUGAGAAUUGGCCACCUGAUGGUUAUUUAUACGUCCAGAAGAACAUCA